CUUGCUCACUUUCAAAGAGGCAGCUCAUGAAUUUUCAUCACAUGCACAGAUGCAGAUACGGGUCAUGGGGAGUUCUGCUGAAUGUCGGAAGCAGUCUCCACACCUCUGCUCCCUGAGGAGCAACGCUGGGAAAGGGGGCACUUGUGAUUUUAGUUCAUUGAGAGUUAUUGGCAGACCAUGGUCACUUGUACUUGCUUUUCUACCUAGUAUAUAAGUGGUUCAUCUUGGAUGGCAAUUUGUAAAUUAGUUGGCUAAGGAGGAGACGAAGAAAAAAUAAAAGAAAGAAAAGGAAGAAAGAAAGAAGGGAGAAAUGCUGAUGUACCAAC
rnacentral:lncRNA from 1 species